AGCCUGUAAGCAAAACUGCUCGGCACCGCUGGGGAGCUAGAUCUCCCAACAGCUCCGUGCAGAAAGAUGCCCUGGGAAACCGUGAAACUACCAUGAAACAGAGUGACUUCCCUGAGUCAGUUUCGCAGGGCGAACCGCGCCACGCGCCGGGACUGGGCACUCCGUUUGCGGGAUGCGUUCCCAGAGCGGACCGCGUUGCUGGGGGGUUCUGAAGCUGGAUUGAGAAUCGAAUCGGACUUUACAAGAGCAAGAACAAAUCCCCAUUCUACCUGGCUACAGCACAAGAUUUCAGCCACCUCAGUAUCCUCCUAUCUGGAUUCCCUUAUGUUGUUCCAAAAGCUACACAAGCUCUCUGAGAGGCGGUAGCAAGUUCGACAGAAGAAUUCUUCCAUUGAACUAGCUGUGUCUACAUCAGGGGUUAGGUCAAGCUAACUACGGUGAGCAGUGCACAAAAUUUUCCCAACCCUGAGAGCUGUAGCUAAGUCAAUCUAAUUUUUUUAGUGUAGACCAGGCCUAAGCAAUGUUGGGGAUUUCUAGAUGCACCCUGGCUUGUGAGACAGCCAGGACUUACAGAGCCUGACUCUACACUCAAUAAAGUCAAUUUCGUUCAA